CCUACGGGGGGCAGCAGUGGGGAAUAUUGGACAAUGGGGGCAACCCUGAUCCAGCCAUGCCGCGUGUGUGAAGAAGGCCCUCGGGUUGUAAAGCACUUUCAGUGAGGAAGAACGCCUGGUGGUUAAUACCCAUCAGGAAAGACAUCACUCACAGAAGAAGCACCGGCUAACUCCGUGCCAGCAGCCGCGGUAAUACGGAGGGUGCGAGCGUUAAUCGGAAUUACUGGGCGUAAAGCGCGCGUAGGUGGCUUGAUAAGCCGGUUGUGAAAGCCCCGGGCUCAACCUGGGAACGGCAUCCGGAACUGUCAAGCUAGAGUGCAGGAGAGGAAGGUAGAAUUCCCGGUGUAGGGGUGAAAUGCGUAGAGAUCGGGAGGAAUACCAGUGGCGAAGGCGGCCUUCUGGACUGACACUGACACUGAGGUGCGAAAGCGUGGGUAGCAAACAGGAUUAGAUACCCUAGUAGUC
rnacentral:rRNA from 1 species